rnacentral:rRNA from 1 species
UACAGAGGGUGCAAGCGUUAAUCGGAAUGACUGGGCGUAAAGGGUGCGUAGGUGGCCUAUUAAGUUAGUUGUGAAAUCCCCGGGCUUAACCUGGGAACUGCAAUUGAUACUGGUAAGCUAGAGUUUGGUAGAGGAUAGUGGAAUUUCCGGUGUAGCGGUGAAAUGCGUAGAUAUCGGAAGGAACACCAGUGGCGAAGGCGACUAUCUGGCCCAAAACUGACACUGAGGCACGAAAACGUGGGUAGCGAACAGG